AAUGGCUACAGGGGCACUAUGAU
rnacentral:miRNA from 1 species